UUAAAUCAAUUUUGUAUGGAUUUGAAACGUUUGCCUACGUUUGCCGCUAGGGGCGCUGUUGCAACUGCAUACAAAUUUGAAUUA
rnacentral:pre_miRNA from 1 species